rnacentral:rRNA from 1 species
GUCUAUGGCCAUACCACCCUGAACGCACCCGAUCUCGUCUGAUCUCAGAAGCUAAGAAGGGUCGGGCCUGGUUAGUACUUGGAUGGGAGAAAGAAAAAGACCUUGCUGUCUAGGAACUGAUCUGGCUCUCAUAGAGU